rnacentral:sRNA from 1 species
CACGUAAUGGCGGCGUUCGGCUUGACGAC